CCACAUCGGAGUUCCAUCUCCACUAUGUCUCCUAACAGGCCGUUGCGGCGACGCUGAAUGCGAACGCUGUUUCAUCUCCGCCGAUACUUUAAGCCUCGACAUCUCACGUUUCAGAUGCUCUUGGCUUUCUUCUAACUCCCGUAUUUUCUUCAGAAGCUCCUCUGCUGGUGGAGUCGUCUUCUCCAUUGCGAGGGGAAAAAAAAAAACGCAGUUGAGAUCAAAUCAAAUCAAACCAAAUCUGAGUAGUGGAAUCGGAGAAGAUGAAUCACGGCGAGAAUGGUGUGAUUAAAAAGAAACAAAAAACAAAAUUCUGGAGAAGAGAGUCAAAACAACAAACAAACAAUGAUGAUGAGAAAACUUCUUUACUUAUCUUUUCUUAAGUUUUUGAUUCCUUUUUUUCUGGUUUUAG
rnacentral:lncRNA from 1 species